rnacentral:miRNA from 1 species
UGAGACUUGGUAGUAAGAUGAU